rnacentral:rRNA from 1 species
UACGUAGGACCCAAGCGUUAUCCGGAAUUACUGGGCGUAAAGAGUUGCGUAGGUGGCAGAGUAAGCAAGGUGUGAAAGCGUGUGGCUCAACCAUACAUGCCAUACUUUGAACUACUCAGCUAGAGGACAAGAGAGGUAGAUGGAAUUCUCAGUGUAGGAGUGAAAUCCGUAGAUAUUGGGAAGAACACCGAUGGCGUAGGCAGUCUACUGGCUUGUUCCUGACACUAAGGCACGAAAGCGUGGGGAGCGAACGGG